GCACAACGCGAAGAACCUUACCAGGUCUUGACAUCCCUCUGACGGGUCUAGAGAUAGGCCGUUCCUUCGGGACAGAGGAGACAGGUGGUGCAUGGUUGUCGUCAGCUCGUGUCGUGAGAUGUUGGGUUAAGUCCCGCAACGAGCGCAACCCUUGAAUUUAGUUGCCAGCACAUGAGGUGGGCACUCUAAAUUGACUGCCGGUGACAAACCGGAGGAAGGCGGGGAUGACGUCAAAUCAUCAUGCCCCUUAUGACCUGGGCUACACACGUACUACAAUGGCCGGUACAACGGGCAGCGAAGUCGCGAGAUGGAGCCAAUCCUUUAAAGCCGGUCUCAGUUCGGAUUGCAGGCUGCAACUCGCCUGCAUGAAGUCGGAAUUGCUAGUAAUCGCGGAUCAGCAUGCCGC
rnacentral:rRNA from 1 species